GUUUCAGGAUUUUCCACAACAUUAAAUGUAACUAUAAAUGUAGAGAAAGCAUGACCUGCCAACUUUAAAAUG